rnacentral:rRNA from 1 species
GAUCAUGGCUCAGGAUGAACGCUAGCUACAGGCUUAACUCAUGCAAGUCGAGGGGCAGCAUUUCAGUUUGCUUGCAAACUGGAGAUGGCGACCGGCGCACGGGUGAGUAACACGUAUCCAACCUGCCGAUAACUCGGGGAUAGCCUUUCGAAAGAAAGAUUAAUACCCGAUGGUAUAAUUAGACCGCAUGGUCUUGUUAUUAAAGAAUUUCGGUUAUCGAUGGGGAUGCGUUCCAUUAGGGCAG